rnacentral:rRNA from 1 species
GACAGAGGGUGCAAACGUUGUUCGGAUUUACUGGGCGUAAAGCGCGUGUAGGCGGCUUGGCAAGUCGGAUGUGAAGGCCCACGGCUCAACCGUGGAAGCGCAUCCGAAACGGCCUCGCUCGAGUCUCGGAGAGGAAGGUGGAAUGCUUGGUGUAGAGGUGAAAUUCGUAGAUAUCAAGCAGAACACCUAUGGCGAAGGCAGCUCGCUGGGACGUUACUGACGCUGAGACGCGAAAGCGUGGGGAGCAAACAGG